rnacentral:rRNA from 1 species
AGACCCGAAACCCGGUGAUCUAGCCAUGGGCAGGUUGAAGGUUGGGUAACACUAACUGGAGGACCGAACCGACUAAUGUUGAAAAAUUAGCGGAUGACCUGUGGCUGGGGGUGAAAGGCCAAUCAAACCGGGAGAUAGCUGGUUCUCCCCGAAAGCUAUUUAGGUAGCGCCUCGUGAAUUCAUCUCCGGGGGUAGAGCACUGUUUCGGCUAGGGGGCCAUCCCGGCUUACCAACCCGAUGCAAACUGCGAAUACCGGAGAAUGUUAUCACGGGAGACACACGGCGGGUGCUAACGUCCGUCGUGAAGAGGGAAACAACCCAGACCGCCAGCUAAGGUCCCAAAGUCAUGGUUAAGUGGGAAACGAUGUGGGAAGGCCCAGACAGCCAGGAUGUUGGCUUAGAAGCAGCCAUCAUUUAAAGAAAGCGUAAUAGCUCACUGGUCGAGUCGGCCUGCGCGGAAGAUGUAACGGGGCUAAACCAUGCACCGAAGCUGCGGCAGCGACGCUGAUGCGUUGUUGGGUAGGGGAGCGUUCUGUAAGCCUGUGAAGGUGGCCUGUGAGGGUUGCUGGAGGUAUCAGAAGUGCGAAUGCUGACAUAAGUAACGAUAAAGCGGGUGAAAAGCCCGCUCGCCGGAAGACCAAGGGUUCCUGUCCAACGUUAAUCGGGGCAGGGUGAGUCGACCCCUAAGGCGAGGCCGAAAGGCGUAGUCGAUGGGAAACGGGUUAAUAUUCCCGUACUUGGUGUUACUGCGAAGGGGGGACGGAGAAGGCUAUGUUGGCCGGGCGACGGUUGUCCCGGUUUAAGCGUGUAGGCUGGUUUUCCAGGCAAAUCCGGAAAAUCAAGGCUGAGGCGUGACGACGAGGCACUACGGUGCUGAAGCAACAAAUGCCCUGCUUCCAGGAAAAGCCUCUAAGCAUCAGGUAACAUCAAAUCGUACCCCAAACCGACACAGGUGGUCAGGUAGAGAAUACCAAGGCGCUUGAGAGAACUCGGGUGAAGGAACUAGGCAAAAUGGUGCCGUAACUUCGGGAGAAGGCACGCUGACACGUAGGUGAAGUGAUUUACUCAUGGAGCUGAAGUCAGUCGAAGAUACCAGCUGGCUGCAACUGUUUAUUAAAAACACAGCACUGUGCAAACACGAAAGUGGACGUAUACGGUGUGACGCCUGCCCGGUGCCGGAAGGUUAAUUGAUGGGGUCAGCGCAAGCGAAGCUCCUGAUCGAAGCCCCGGUAAACGGCGGCCGUAACUAUAACGGUCCUAAGGUAGCGAAAUUCCUUGUCGGGUAAGUUCCGACCUGCACGAAUGGCGUAAUGAUGGCCAGGCUGUCUCCACCCGAGACUCAGUGAAAUUGAACUCGCUGUGAAGAUGCAGUGUACCCGCGGCAAGACGGAAAGACCCCGUGAACCUUUACUAUAGCUUGACACUGAACAUUGAGCCUUGAUGUGUAGGAUAGGUGGGAGGCUUUGAAGUGUGGACGCCAGUCUGCAUGGAGCCGGCCUUGAAAUACCACCCUUUAAUGUUUGAUGUUCUAACGUGGACCCGUGAUCCGGGUUGCGGACAGUGUCUGGUGGGUAGUUUGACUGGGGCGGUCUCCUCCUAAAGAGUAACGGAGGAGCACGAAGGUUGGCUAAUCCUGGUCGGACAUCAGGAGGUUAGUGCAAUGGCAUAAGCCAGCUUGACUGCGAGCGUGACGGCGCGAGCAGGUGCGAAAGCAGGUCAUAGUGAUCCGGUGGUUCUGAAUGGAAGGGCCAUCGCUCAACGGAUAAAAGGUACUCCGGGGAUAACAGGCUGAUACCGCCCAAGAGUUCAUAUCGACGGCGGUGUUUGGCACCUCGAUGUCGGCUCAUCACAUCCUGGGGCUGAAGUAGGUCCCAAGGGUAUGGCUGUUCGCCAUUUAAAGUGGUACGCGAGCUGGGUUUAGAACGUCGUGAGACAGUUCGGUCCCUAUCUGCCGUGGGCGCUGGAGAACUGAGGGGGGCUGCUCCUAGUACGAGAGGACCGGAGUGGACGCAUCACUGGUGUUCGGGUUGUCAUGCCAAUGGCACUGCCCGGUAGCUAAAUGCGGAAGAGAUAAGUGCUGAAAGCAUCUAAGCACGAAACUUGCCCCGAGAUGAGUUCUCCCUGAGACUUUAGGUCUCCUGAAGGAACGUUGAAGACGACGACGUUGAUAGGCCGGGUGUGUAAGCGCAGCGAUGCGUUGAGCUAACCGGUACUAAUGAACCGUGAGGCUUAACCUUACA